CUUUUCCAGGUGGGGGGGCUGCGGAAGGAUCAUUACUGAUUUGCUUAAUUGCACCACAUGUGUUUUUUAUUGAACAAAUUUCUUUGGUGGCGGGAGCAAUCCUACCGCCAGAGGUUAUAACUAAACCAAACUUUUUAUUUACAGUCAAACUUGAUUUAUUAUUACAAUAGUCAAAACUUUCAACAACGGAUCUCUUGGUUCUCGCAUCGAUGAAGAACGCAGCGAAAUGCGAUACGUAAUAUGAAUUGCAGAUAUUCGUGAAUCAUCGAAUCUUUGAACGCACAUUGCGCCCUUUGGUAUUCCAAAGGGCAUGCCUGUUUGAGCGUCAUUUCUCCCUCAAACCCCCGGGUUUGGUGUUGAGCAAUACGCUAGGUUUGUUUGAAAGAAUUUAACGUGGAAACUUAUUUUAAGCGACUUAGGUUUAUCCAAAAACGCUUAUUUUGCUAGUGGCCACCACAAUUUAUUUCAUAACUUUGACCUCAAAUCAGGUAGGACUACCCGCUGAACUUAA
rnacentral:misc_RNA from 1 species